GAGUUUUUUGCUCCUCUUCUUUCAAAGUAUGAAUUUUGCAUUGUACAGAUUCUUUCAUUUGCCAUUGUGUUCAUAAUUAUCACAAGAGAUUCAAUCACCUGAAACCAAGAUGGCUUCAUCUAGUAAUGAAGAAGGGACGAAAGAGGUAUUUAAGUGGACUGAUGAGGACACUAUCAUCCUGUGUGAAGUAUGCCUUCAAUUCAUUAAAGACAAUGGUCGAUCACAAUGUUUCAAGUCGAAGGAAAUCCAAAUAGACGUGGAAAAAAAAUUGACUGUCCAUUUAGUAACUUGAGUAGUUGCAAGCAUAAAUAUGAUACAAUGAGAAGACAGGCGUAAUUGGACUAAAUUAAAAUCUUCGAAAACUGGUCUCGGGUGGGAUCCGAAUUCUGGAAAAAUUGAUGCAUCAGAUGAGUGGUGGCAAAGAAAAAUCAAGGAAAAUCCAGAUAUAAAAAAGUUUCGACACAGGGGUGUCAACUCAACUCUUGAAACUAAUUGGGAUAAAUUAUUUGGAGACUCGUAUGCAACAGGUGAAAAUGUUUAUGUACCCUCAAUGGACCACAUUGAAGACUUA